AGUCUGUGGCUUCUGAGCUCACAGUGGCCAUUACUCAACCCAGAGGAGAAAAGACUUCUAUGCCUCAGACGCUUGGUGAUCUGGCAUGAUUUGGCCCUGGCCCACUUCAUCUUUCAGUUCACGGUCUGCAGCACUCCUCACGAAUAUUGCAGAAGAGCCACUGGCUGAGAGUAUUUUUAAAUGGAAACCCCAGAAACCAAACGGUCCUGUGCUUGGGGCUAGCUUUGUUCAAGAAUGAAAGGAGACAGUCUUGGCGGGCUGAGUGAGGGAAAAUGGUCUGUUUGAAGGGGAAAGAUGAAUUACUUCAAAAUAGCCUGCAGAACUUGGAUCAGAUCAUGGAGCGGUGGAAGCCUUUUCUCCAGCAAGAUCUUACAGAACAAGCAUCAUCUAGAACAUCUGGCGAAAGCUGGAAUGGGUGGCUCAGAGACUCACAUUAGCUACCUGCUCUCUCCCCAGAUGCCACCAUAAUAACCUUAAGGUUGCAGGGAACUCAGCGUGAACAUCACCAGUUCAACAUCUUCAUUCAAAAAGGAGAAAAACAGCUGGGAGCAGUGACUCACACCUGUAAUCCCAGCACUUUGGGAGGCCGAGGCGGGUAGAUCGCCUGAGGCAGGAGUUCGAGACCAGCCUGGCCAACAUGGUGAAACCCCUUCUCUACUAAAAAUACAAAAAAUUAGCUGGGCAUGGUGGCGAGCACCUGUAAUCCCAGCUACUAGGGAGGCUGAGGCAGGAGAAUCGCUCGAACCCGGUAGGUGGAGGUUGCAGUGAGCUGAGAUCGCGCCACUGCACUCCAGCCUGGGCAACAAGAGUGAAACUCCAUCUCAAAAAAAAGAAAAAAAAAAAAAAGAAAGAAAGAAAGUUGCAGCAAAAUAACUCAGAAAGACAUGAAGGGUGUGUCAGCAUUUGACCCAAGGCAGGCAUGGUGCUGUGUUUGCCCCUGGAUCCAGGAAACCCCCAGCUCUGACCUUCAGAAGCUUCCAGUCUGGCCACCCCUACAAUGCCUGCAAACACUGGACCAGCCAUGCAUGCAGACAAGUGACAGACUGUCCAUGGCCCUCCAAGUCCAGCUCUUCUAGGAGGUCUCUCCUGAUCCUUCCUUCUUCUCCCUGCUAAGUGAUUCUCUUCCUUCUCAGCACUAGACUGUAGGUAGCUAUUUGUCUAUGUUUCUGUUAAUGUGCCUUUCUCACUAUGGCUCGUUCCUUGGAGGGCAGGGAUUGUACUAAUUACAGAUCUGAUCAAGAACA